AUUGAACGCUGGCGGCAGGCCUAACACAUGCAAGUCGAACGGUAACAGGAAACAGCUUGCUGUUUCGCUGAUGAGUGGCGGACGGGUGAGUAAUGUCUGGGAAACUGCCUGAUGGAGGGGGAUAACUACUGGAAACGGUAGCUAAUACCGCAUAACGUCGCAAGACCAAAGUGGGGGACCUUCGGGCCUCUUGCCAUCGGAUGUGCCCAGAUGGGAUUAGCUAGUAGGUGGGGUAACGGCUCACCUAGGCGACGAUCCCUAGCUGGUCUGAGAGGAUGAGCAGCCACACUGGAACUGAGACACGGUCCAGACUCCUACGGGAGGCAGCAGUGGGGAAUAUUGCACAAUGGGCGCAAGGCUGAUGCAGCCAUGCCGCGUGUAUGAAGAAGGCCUUCGGGUUGUAAAGUACUUUCAGCGGGGAGGAAGGGAGUAAAGUUAAUACCUUUGCUCAUUGACGUUACCCGCAGAAGAAGCACCGGCUAACUCCGUGCCAGCCGCCGCGGUAA
rnacentral:rRNA from 1 species